ACAGCUGAGGGACAGGGAACCUGGUUUCCUCCAUACAGACACAUGAGUCUUCCCUAAGUGGGUCUUCCCCACAGGGGUGAGGGGGCAUUCAAUACACACCUCCAGCUCACCUCAAACCAUCUCAGGAGGCCACCACCAACUCACACAGGCCAGCUGCAUUGUCACAGUGACCCCAGAAGAGCACAGCCCUGUCCUUCAGAUGAAUAAACAGAGAAAGAGACACAUCUCACAGCCAGGAGCUGCAACUCAGGCCCAGGUCCAGCUGCAGUGUUGCCUCCAUGGCUCUGCCUGCACCUCCUCCGGGACUCAAUUCCCGCUAACAAGUGAGCACUUGAGUACAGGUGAAAUAGGUGCUAUUAUCCCCAUCUGGCUGCUGGGGAAAGGGAAGCAAGGCACAGGUGACUUGCCCAAGGCCAAAGUGACAGGGUUGGUUCAACCCCAUCUGUCUCAGCCAGCACAUCCCCAUGGCAGAGGCUUUACUGUGAUCCAAACCUGGAAGGUGGAACUUCUUCCAAUGUCCCACCCAAGGCACAGAGCAUGCAGCCCCAUGUUUGGGGAGGUGACAGUGUGGAAAACAAUCUGGCUAGGCCAAGGCCUUAUGGAGCCCAGGGUUCCCUAGGGCCAGGACAGCACUGGAGCCCACCCCAACACCCAUUGGAAACCUGGAAUCUGCACCUGCAGGAGAUCAGGAGAGGGGUUCAGUCUCCGAUGCACCUGCAGCAAGGUGAGACAGGCACAGGUGGGCAUCCUGCUUCCAACCAGCCUCAGGUGGGCAGGAAGCAGAUCCCCUGCCUGACCUUCCUCUCCUGCCUCCCCCAAGCAGAGAAGGGGCAGCCGCCCAUCAGGCCAUUGCCCACAUUGAAGCCACUGAUGCUAGGUCCCAACAGGCGAGUGUGACCCCUGACUAUCCCAGGCCUGGCCCAAGGCAGUCCUGUCUCUGGUGAGGACCUGGUAGACAGGAGAUGUGAUGUCCCCACGUGGCUCUAUAAACCUCUGAUUGAGGAUAAUCAAGGAAAUGGGCAAGACCAUCAUGCUCAGCCAAGAACACAAGAAGGACCAGGGGCAUGCAAAAGUCAGUUUGGGCCCAGGCCUGGCCCCUGGAAGGAUGGUGGAUGAGGGGUCAGCCACGGUGAAGGGGAAUGGAAGGCCACAGACUGGGUGGUCAGGGCUGUCAGCUCCUGCAGCCCCAGCAGAACAUCUGCCCCGGCCUGGCUCUGCACUCAGCCUUCUGCCUGGAGCCACAGGUGCCUGGACACCAGCCUCAAGUAGGGAUGGAGGUAGGAAAGGCACUGUGGCCACAUGUGGGCACCUAAGCAUGGGACAGAGGGAUAUCGUGCCCCAAAGAGACCAUAGAGGUCAAGAGCUUAAGCAGAUGUGACACCAUCAAUAAACCCCCUUGUCCUGGGUCACAUCAAUUAAGUCAGCACCUACCCUGACCCUGAAGCUGCAGCUCAGUCUGGUUGAGACUCACAGAGAGAUGUUAGUGCUGGGCAGGGGGCCUGGCCCAGCCUUUGAUGUCCAGCAAAGCUGUGGGCUGGACAAGAAUCUCUGAAGAUUAGUCCAGGACAAGGACAGCUGUGCCUGGGCAGCGAGUGGGGGCAAUGCCCAGGGGGCAGGAGGCCUGAGGACAUUUAACUAGGUAGGGUGCCAGGUCAGGAUGCUCAGAAGAGAAGGUGGCAUGGCAGCAUCCUGCCCGAGGCCAGGCUAUAAACCUAGGGGCCACCUGGUCUAGCCUAAACAAUGCUGCCACCUAGAUACUAUCCUUCAAAUGUGAGGCAGGGCUGGGAGAGCCCCCUGCCCCCUCAUCCCUCCUGCCCCAAGCUGGUUACCAUCCCUCACUAGAAGGAAAGGGGACUCUUCUAUGGGGCACAGCAUGCCAGGUUCUCCAUCACCUGGGGGAAGUGGCAGGGGAGAGGGGGAACUGCAGCUGGGUGAAAAAGAACCCAAGUUCCACUCUGUUCCUUCCUGUCAUGUGACCUCGGGCAAGCUGCUUUCUUUGCCUGGGGCCAAGGAGAGUCACAGGGGAAGGGCCAGGUUAAAAGAGCUCCACCCUGGAGCCCAGAGCUACCCACAGAGAAAACCCCCAUCCUCCCGAUUCUGCUCCCACCUCACGCUGCUGGGAUAACAUCCUCCCCAUCAGAGAGGCCGUGGGAGGCAGAGGCCGACCCUGCUCCUUCAGGCACCUCGGCGGGUUUGGGUCCACCUUCACCAUGAUCAGGGAGUGGGUCCCUGGGAUCACAAAGGUGAGGGGCAGCUUCUCGGGCUCCAGGUGCUCCAAGGUAGACCCUGCAGGGUACCAGAGCUAGAAGGGCAUUGGGGAAGACCUUGAACCAGGCCAGGACCUGAGCUCUGCUUGGACACGGUGACUGAGCCAGGUAACCCUAUGUCUCAGUCUGUCACUCUGUCUCAUGCGGGAUGUCAGCAUUACCUCUGGAGUCAAAGUAGGUAAGCCAGAGUAACCAGAGAUCCCAGUAGGGACCAAGAUCAAAGGAUGCAGGGAUCGGGACUGUCCCGGAAGGUCAGGCUAGACGAGGGGCUCUGAGAAGCUGGGGCAGCCAAGGGCCUGCCCUUCA
ensembl:lncRNA